rnacentral:rRNA from 1 species
AUACGGAGGGGGUUAGCGUUGUUCGGAAUUACUGGGCGUAAAGCGCACGUAGGCGGAUUGGAAAGUUGGGGGUGAAAUCCCAGGGCUCAACCCUGGAACUGCCUCCAAAACUAACAGUCUAGAGUUCGAGAGAGGUGAGUGGAAUUCCAAGUGUAGAGGUGAGAUCCGUAGAUAUUUGGAGGAACACCAGUGGCGAAGGCGGCUCACUGGCUCGAUACUGACGCUGAGGUGCGAAAGCGUGGGGAGCAAACAGGAUUAGAUACCCUAGUAGUCC